rnacentral:rRNA from 1 species
GAUGAACGCUGGCGGCGUGCCUAAUACAUGCAAGUCGAGCGAACGGACGAGAAGCUUGCUUCUCUGAUGUUAGCGGCGGACGGGUGAGUAACACGUGGAUAACCUACCUAUAAGACUGGGAUAACUUCGGGAAACCGGAGCUAAUACCGGAUAAUAUUUUGAACCGCAUGGUUCAAAAGUGAAAGACGGUCUUGCUGUCACUUAUAGAUGGAUCCGCGCUGCAUUAGCUAGUUGGUAAGGUAACGGCUUACCAAGGCAACGAUGCAUAGCCGACCUGAGAGGGUGAUCGGCCACACUGGAACUGAGACACGGUCCAGACUCCUACGGGAGGCAGCAGUAGGGAAUCUUCCGCAAAGGGCGAAAGCCUGACGGAGCAACGCCGCGUGAGUGAUGAAGGUCUUCGGAUCGUAAAGCUCUGUUAUUAGGGAAGAACAGAUGUGUAAGUAACUGUGCACAUCUUGACGGUACCUAAUCAGAAAGCCACGGCUAACUACGUG